GUAGCUUGUGCACAUAUACAUUGGGCCUGAGGCCGCAGCUUAUUUACAUAGAUAAACAGGUGGUUCCUCAUUCAGUACAGGAAGUACUUUUGUUCAGUUCAGUUAUCAAUUAUCAGUUAUCAGUUCAGUUUCAGUAUUUACAGUUCUUUCUUUCAGUUGCUUUACAUACCAGUGCAAUUCAAAUGUACUGACGUCCCUUUCACCUGGGGCUUGCAUCUCACGAUGCAGGUAACAAUUACAGGUUGACGAUUCAGAGCACUAGGAUUUUCGUACCAACUAUUUGGUUAUAUCCAAUAUGCGUGUAUUAAUGACUGAAGACUCUAACAAUGCAGUCAGCAAUUCUUUUUUGCUUGACGAUGAUUCGAGCAUACCGUUCUCAAUUGAUGACCUCUCUAAAUCAAUGGAUCAGAUUGAUAUUGCAGACAUUGAGCCACCCCCACUUAUUCGAGAAAAUUCAGGCUUCAGUUUCUUAUUGCCACGUGCAGACUAAUCGAUCUCAAUGAGACUUCAGUCCUAGGAACUUGCAGCCACAUCUUUGAUUCGUGUGAGCAUGGAGGAGUGUGAAUGCGUUGAUCAGCUCAGGCUCACAAAAGGAACAGAAGCGCCAGUAAUUGCGUGCAGCCAUUGGCGUGUACUGUGAGGGCGGCGGUGAAGAACUUUACAUAUAGUUGGACAAUUUUUGAAAAAUACAUAUCUAUAUUAAAUUGGUGUCCACUGCUGCAAAGUAAGAGUGGAUGCAGUGAUACCUCUAUGCUAGUAAGAGGAAUCUACCCGUAAUACAUGAAC